UACGAGAGGCCCAAACGUUAUUCGGAAUUACUGGGCUUAAAGAGUUCGUAGGCGGCGCAGAAAGUAGGGUGUGAAAGCCCUCGGCUCAACCGAGGAAUUGCGCUCUAAACUACUGUGCUUGAGGAAUCUAGAGGUGAGCGGAACUGAUGGUGGAGCGGUGAAAUGCGUAGAUAUCGAGAGGAACACCUGCGGCGAAGGCGGGUUGCUGGGCUGAUACUGACGCUGAGGCGCGAAAGCCAGGGGAGCGAACGGG
rnacentral:rRNA from 1 species